rnacentral:rRNA from 1 species
UACGUAGGGUCCGAGCGUUGUCCGGAAUUACUGGACGUAAAGAGCUCGUAGGUGGUUUGUCGCGUUGUUCGUGAAAACUCACAGCUCAACUGUGGGCGUGCGGGCGAUACGGGCAGACUGGAGUACUGCAGGGGAGACUGGAAUUCCUGGUGUAGCGGUGGAAUGCGCAGAUAUCAGGAGGAACACCGGUGGCGAAGGCGGGUCUCUGGGCAGUAACUGACGCUGAGGAGCGAAAGCGUGGGGAGCGAACAGG